ensembl:lncRNA
CCGCUUUAUCAGGUCGGAAACAGCCGCUGCGCGCCGCUUCCGCUGACGCAGCGCCGGCCUGCGCCUCAUGACUAUGCAGCAGAGCUGAGGGGCGGGGCCUGAGACGAGUGCGUCUAUUGGUCGCCAGCUGCCUGUGGCCCCGCCCCCUCGUGAAGGCCGCGCCCCGCCCAGGGCCUGGUGGUGGGCUCUGGAGGUGGUUGUGUAUUUCGCCGCCCUCGCCUGGCCUUCCUGCCUUACACCCUCAGGCUCUUCAGGCCGCAACUGUGUAGCACGCUGUGCUCACCUUCCUCCAACAGAGCUGCACCCCUCCUGAGAGCAAACUGAUGUGCUGAGAAGCCAUACAAGGCCAAGUCCGGAAGGGAGCUAGACAGAUACAAGGAAUGAUGGGUGAUGUCAGACAGCCCGGCUGGCACCUCAGCCAAGAUGGGUUGGAGAGAUGGCUCAACACUGACUACUCUUCCAGAGAACCUGGGUUCAAUUCCCAGCACCCACAUGAAAGCUACCAACUGUCUGUAACUCCAAGAUCUGACGCUCUCACACAGGCAUACAUGCUGGAGAGAUGGCUCGGAGGUUAAGAGCACUGACUGCUCUUCCAGAGGUCCUGAGUUCAAUUCCCAGCAACCACAUGGUGGCUCACAACCAUCUGUUAUGAGAUCUGGUGCCCUCUUCUUGUGUGCAGAUAUACAUGGAAGCAGAAUGUUGUAUACAUAAUAAGUAAAUAAAAAAAUAAUGUUUAAAAAAAUAUCUUUCAUUU